rnacentral:tRNA from 1 species
GAGGGUAUAGCUCAGUGGUAGAAUGCAGUGCUUAGCAAGUGCAAGGUCCUGGGUUCAAUCCCUGGUACCUUCA